AGAAAAUUAGUACAUGUAAUAAUGCUUAACCAAACAAAGGCAAACUAUUAAGUUUCGAUGACAAUCAAUAGUACAGUGUACUAAUUUAAAAGUUCUUGCAGGAAAAUUAAAUAUUAAGUUUUGGAAAUUUGCAUAGUUAUUGAAACUAAAUUCAAAACUCACUUUCUCCUUUUUCAGUGUGGAAAAAAAGCUUCAGCACAAAUUCCUUUUAACUUUGAUGCUAAUAUAUAAUCAUUCAGAAGUUUGUGCACCUUUCUUUUUUUUGAUGUGGACGUUUGUUUCAAGCAGUUGUUUUAUAAUAAUCCUGCAAGUGGUUAUAGAUAAUUUGUUAUUGUGCCUUUAAUAAAUGUUAUUUUGAG
rnacentral:sRNA from 1 species